rnacentral:rRNA from 1 species
GGUUAAGCGACUAAGCGUACACGGUGGAUGCCCUGGCAGUCAGAGGCGAUGAAGGRCGUGCUAAUCUGCGAUAAGCGCCGGUAAGGUGAUAUGAACCGUUAUAACCGGCGAUACCCGAAUGGGGAAACCCAGUGUGACUCGUCACACUAUCAUUAACUGAAUCCAUAGGUUAAUGAGGCGAACCGGGGGAACUGAAACAUCUAAGUACCCCGAGGAAAAGAAAUCAACCGAGAUUCCCCCAGUAGCGGCGAGCGAACGGGGAGGAGCCCAGAGCCUGAAUCAGCAUGUGUGUUAGUGGAAGCGUCUGGAAAGGCGCGCGAUACAGGGUGACAGCCCCGUACACAAAAG